rnacentral:rRNA from 1 species
GACGGAGGGGGCAAGCGUUGUUCGGAAUUAUUGGGCGUAAAGAGCUCGUAGGCGGUCUGUCACGUCGGCUGUGAAAUCCCGAGGCUCAACCUCGGGUCUGCAGUCGAUACGGGCAAACUAGAGUAUUGCAGGGGAGACUGGAAUUCCUGGUGUAGCGGUGAAAUGCGCAGAUAUCAGGAGGAACACCGGUGGCGAAGGCGGGUCUCUGGGCAAUAACUGACGCUGAGGAGCGAAAGCGUGGGGAGCGAACAGG